UCCUGGGCAGUCCAGUAGUUAGGACUCUGCACUUCCAAUGCAGGGGGCACAGGUUCAAUCCCUGGUCAGGGAA
rnacentral:tRNA from 1 species